ACCUCACGCAGCAAUGGCAAAGGCUCCGUUCUAUCAUCUUUUGUUCUGUUUCGGGAUAUGGAGUGAUUCCUACUCUUCACUGGGUUUGGCUCAAUGGAGGAAUUGAUGCUCCGAUUGUACAGAAUCAGGAACGAAGAUUCAGGGAAUGUCUGUCACAUCUUAUGGCAUCCCACCUGGACAGAAUAUCCGAUUUGAAGAUUGUGAUUGACUUCCAUAAAACUCUACAACUCUCCAUUUGGCAGUGCUUACGUGAAGUACCAAGCAAAUCUGGAUAAUGUCAUAACUAUGCCCAACACGUACACAGGGAUUGGGGUAAGGGAAAAUAAUUACACUCCUGAAUAAAUGUUCUAGUCAGUUAAAUUUUCAUCUGGCCUGCAACCUUUCCUCCUCCACCUAAUAUACUUACCAUGGAAUUUUUGUGUCUUAGCAGAUACAUUCUUCAAUGCCAUAAAAAGCUGAUCUUUUUAAUACUAACAUUUUACUGAUGUGAUAUUAAAAUAAGCAAAUGGUCCACUUUUUAAAGGAUUAUUCAAAAUCAACAAGCAUUAUUAAAGCUGUUAGGAAACAACUUUGGCCUCGAUUUUUGCUAGCUUCAUAAUAAUUUACUUCUCUUAGUGAUGUUCAAGUAUAACAGG
rnacentral:sRNA from 1 species